AACUGGUGAGUACCACGUGGGAAACCUGCCCAGAAACGGGGGAUACCACCUGGAAACAGAUGCUAAUCCUGCAUAACAACUUGUACCGCCUGGCCCGAGCUUGAAAGAUGGCUUUGGCUAUCACUUUUGGAUGGUCCCGCGGCGUAUUAGCUAUAUGGUGGGGUAACGGCUCACCAUGGCAAUGAUACGUAGCCGACCUGAGAGGGUAAUCGGCCACUUUGGGACUGAGCCAGGGUCCAACCUUAAACGGGAGGCAGCAGUAGGGAAUCUUCCACAAUGGACGAAAGUCUGAUGGAGCAACGCCGCGUGAGUGAAGAAGGGUUUCGGCUCGUAAAACUCUGUUGUUAAAGAAGAACAUAUCUGAGAGUAACUGUUCAGGUAUUGACGGUAUUUAACCAGAAAGCCACGGCUAACUACGUGCCAGCAGCCGCGGUAAUACGUAGGUGGCAAGCGUUGUCCGGAUUUAUUGGGCGUAAAGCGAGCGCAGGCGGUUUUUUAAGUCUGAUGUGAAAGCCUUCGGCUCAACCGAAGAAGUGCAUCGGAAACUGGGAAACUUGAGUGCAGAAGAGGACAGUGGAACUCCAUGUGUAGCGGUGAAAUGCGUAGAUAUAUGGAAGAACACCAGUGGCGAAGGCGGCUGUCUGGUCUGUAACUGACGCUGAGGCUCGAAAGUAUGGGUAGCAAACAGGAUUAGAUACCCUGGUAGUCCAUACCGUAAACGAUGAAUGCUAAGUGUUGGAGGGUUUCCGCCCUUCAGUGCUGCAGCUAACGCAUUAAGCAUUCCGCCUGGGGAGUACGGCCGCAAGGCUGAAACUCAAAGGAAUUGACGGGGGCCCGCACAAGCGGUGGAGCAUGUGGUUUAAUUCGAAGCUACGCGAAGAACCUUACCAGGUCUUGACAUACUAUGCAAAUCUAAGAGAUUAGACGUUC
rnacentral:rRNA from 2 species